UCUCAACACUCUGACUGGACACACUGAGUGGGUCACCAAGGUGUUGUUACAGAAGAGUGAAGUAGAAUCUAUGGUGCAUAGUCCUGGUGAUUAUAUCCUCCUAAGUGCUGAUAAGUAUGAAAUUAAGGUCUGGCCUUA